UACAGAGGGUGCGAGCGUUAAUCGGAAUUACUGGGCGUAAAGCGUGCGUAGACGGUUAUCUAAGUCCGCUGUGAAAGUCGGGGGCUCAACCCUCGAAUGCCGGUGGAUACUGUCGGGCUAGAGUGCGGAAGAGGCGAGUGGAAUUCCUGGUGUAGCGGUGAAAUGCGCAGAUAUCAGGAGGAACACCAAUUGCGAAGGCAGCUCGCUGGGACGUCACUGACGCUGAGACGCGAAAGCGUGGGGAGCAAACAGG
rnacentral:rRNA from 1 species